UUGGCAGCGUGUCUAGUAUAGCACUUUAUACUGUGAAACUGCGAAUGGCUCAUUAAAUCAGUUAUCGUUUAUUUGAUAGUACCUUACUACAUGGAUACCUGUGGUAAUUCUAGAGCUAAUACAUGCUAAAAACCUCGACUUCGGAAGGGGUGUAUUUAUUAGAUAAAAAACCAAUGCCCUUCGGGGCUCCUUGGUGAUUCAUAAUAACUUAACGAAUCGCAUGGCCUUGCGCCGGCGAUGGUUCAUUCAAAUUUCUGCCCUAUCAACUUUCGAUGGUAGGAUAGUGGCCUACCAUGGUGGCAACGGGUAACGGGGAAUUAGGGUUCGAUUCCGGAGAGGGAGCCUGAGAAACGGCUACCACAUCCAAGGAAGGCAGCAGGCGCGCAAAUUACCCAAUCCCGACACGGGGAGGUAGUGACAAUAAAUACUGAUACGGGGCUCUUUUGGGUCUCGUAAUUGGAAUGAGUACAAUCUAAAUCCCUUAACGAGGAACAAUUGGAGGGCAAGUCUGGUGCCAGCAGCCGCGGUAAUUCCAGCUCCAAUAGCGUAUAUUAAAGUUGUUGCAGUUAAAAAGCUCGUAGUUGAACCUUGGGUCUGGCUGGCCGGUCCGCCUCACCGCGAGUACUGGUCCGGCUGGACCUUUCCUUCUGGGGAACCUCAUGGCCUUCACUGGCUGUGGGGGGAACCAGGACUUUUACUGUGAAAAAAUUAGAGUGUUCAAAGCAGGCCUUUGCUCGAAUACAUUAGCAUGGAAUAAUAGAAUAGGACGUGCGGUUCUAUUUUGUUGGUUUCUAGGACCGCCGUAAUGAUUAAUAGGGAUAGUCGGGGGCGUCAGUAUUCAGCUGUCAGAAGUGAAAUUCUUGGAUUUGCUGAAGACUAACUACUGCGAAAGCAUUCGCCAAGGAUGUUUUCAUUAAUCAGGGAACGAAAGUUAGGGGAUCGAAGACGAUCAGAUACCGUCGUAGUCUUAACCAUAAACUAUGCCGACUAGGGAUCGGGCGGUGUUUCUAUGAUGACCCGCUCGGCACCUUACAAGAAUCAAAUUUUUGGGUUCUGGGGGGAAUAUGGUCGCAAGGCUGAAACUUAAGAAAUUGACGGAAGGGCCCCCAAAGG
rnacentral:rRNA from 1 species